AUUGAACGCUGGCGGCAUGCCUUACACAUGCAAGUCGAACGGUAACGGGCCUUCGGGUGCCGACGAGUGGCGAACGGGUGAGUAAUGCAUCGGAACGUACCUUUCAGUGGGGGAUAACGUAGCGAAAGUUACGCUAAUACCGCAUAUUCUGUGAGCAGGAAAGCAGGGGACCGCAAGGCCUUGUGCUUCCGGAGCGGCCGAAGUCAGAUUAGCUAGUUGGUGGGGUAAAGGCCUACCAAGGCGACGAUCUGUAGCGGGUCUGAGAGGAUGAUCCGCCACACUGGAACUGAGACACGGUCCAGACUCCUACGGGAGGCAGCAGUGGGGAAUUUUGGACAAUGGGGGCAACCCUGAUCCAGCCAUGCCGCGUGAGUGAAGAAGGCCUUCGGGUUGUAAAGCUCUUUCGGCCGGGAAGAAAUCGGUGAGGCUAAUACCCUCACUGGAUGACGGUACCGGAAUAAGAAGCACCGGCUAACUACGUGCCAGCCGCCGCCGUAAGAC
rnacentral:rRNA from 1 species